rnacentral:rRNA from 1 species
GACAGAGGAUGCAAGCGUUAUCCGGAAUGAUUGGGCGUAAAGCGUCUGUAGGUGGCUUUUUAAGUCUGCCGUCAAAUCCCAGGGCUUAACCCUGGACAGGCGGUGGAAACUACCAAGCUGGAGUACGGUAGGGGCAGGGGGAAUUUCCGGUGGAGCGGUGAAAUGCGUAGAGAUCGGAAAGAACACCAACGGCGAAAGCACUCUGCUGGGCCGACACUGACACUGAGAGCACGAAAGCUAGGGGAGCGAAUGGG